GACGAACGCUGGCGGCGUGCUUAACACAUGCAAGUCGAACGGAAAGGCCCUGCUUGUGUGGGGUGAUCGAGUGGCGAACGGGUGAGUAACAAGUGAGUAACCUGCCCUAGACUUUGGGAUAACUUCAGGAAACUGGGGCUAAUCUAGGAUAGGAGCCGCUGUUGCGUGGUGGGGGUUGGAAAGUUUCGGCGGUUGGGGAUGGACUCGCGGCUUAUGAGUUUGUUGGUGGGCGAGGUGCAUACCAAGGAUUUGACGGGUAGCCGGCCUGAGUGGGUGGACCGCCACAUUGGUACUGCGAUACGGCCCAGAGUCCUACAGGGGACAGCAGUCGGGAAUCUUGCACAAGCGGCGGAAGCCUGAUACAACAACCCCGCGUGCGGGAUGACCGCCUUCGGGUUAUAAACCGCUUUCGCCUAUGACGAAGCGGGUGUGACGGUAAUGAGUAAAGAAGCACCGGCUAACUACGUG
rnacentral:rRNA from 1 species